GUUUUUGGUUCAGGUUAUCGGAGCUCCGGCCCGGCUGACAAUGGCAACGGAUUCAGGUCUCGGUUCGGUUGAAUCGGGUGGCUCGGGAUCGAGCCUGGGUUUGAUUCGGUUCCGUUUCCGUUCUCUUGAAUCGGGUGGCUCGGGAAGGUUUGAAAAUUCAGAUGGAGGCGUUGGGAGAUACAGAUCCCAGAGUCGCUGAGACUUGCAGAUACUUAGCUGAGGCUCUUGUUCAAGCAAUGCAAUUUGAUGAAGCAGAUACCU